UGCUGGCUACGCUGGCGGUGUUGGCGAUGAUCGCUGGCAUCAGUGAGGGAGCGGUGCUGUCCAGAUGCGAGGUACAGAGACACAUGCAGGAGGUUUUCGACAGGUUGCCCGAGGAGGUUCUUCUCCAGAUCGAUGAAAAAGAUCUAAUGGCUAAGAUCGUUUGCCACGUGGAGCUCACCUCUGGGUUCAAUACCAGCGCUGUGAACCAGCUGACGGUUCCCCAGGACUCCUCUGAGAGGCCUAUGGGACACGGGGGACGCCGUGGUAGACGGUCACCCGGUGCUGGAGGGUCGAGGUUUGAACUUGCCAGGUUUAUGGGCUCGAGGUCAUCAGAGGAGGGUUCCGAUAGUAGCAGCAGCAGCAGCAGCGAGGAGGCUGCGGCAGAACGCGGGGAUGUGUGGACUCUCUACGGCAUUUUCCAGAUGAGCGAUCGCGUCAUGUGCAACUCUGGUUCCGUGCCAUCACUGAACCUCUGUCAGACGAACUGCAGUGCCUUUCUUGAUGAUGACAUCACUAAUGACAUUGUCUGCGGUGAGACAAUACACAUGAAAAUGUAAGUAGCCUGGGCUGAAUGUGGCUGUUUGCUCAGAAACAAAGUCAGCAUAA
rnacentral:lncRNA from 1 species